AACGCAUAUUGCGCUCGAGGCUCCGGCCGAGAGCAUGCCUGUCUCAGCGUCGGCUCACCCCCUCGCCCCCCAUUCAUCCUCGAAUGCCGGGAGCGGAUGUGGCCGUCUCGCUUUUUUCCAAACAAAAGAAGCGGGUCGGCUGAAGCGCAGGGCUUGCGGCGGACCCUCGCGAAGGGGCGCCAGCAUGGUAGGUGGCCUCUGAGCUGCAUGCCGCUGUCGUCUUGCCUUCACCCAAGAGGUUUCCAUAACCGCGCGGCCAAGCAGGAACCGAUUGUUUUCUCGUGGAGAAAAAACAAUCCAAACCUUCGACCUGAGAUCAGACAAGACCACCCGCUGAACUUAA
rnacentral:misc_RNA from 1 species